rnacentral:rRNA from 1 species
ACGUAAGGUGCAAGCGUUGUCCGGAUUUAUUGGGUUUAAAGGGUGCGUAGGCGGCCUUGUAAGUCAGUGGUGAAAUACUCCAGCUUAACUGGAGGGGUGCCAUUGAUACUGCAGGGCUUGAGUUAAGUUGAAGUUGGCGGAAUUGACGGUGUAGCGGUGAAAUGCUUAGAUAUCGUCAAGAACACCGAUAGUGAAGACAGCUAACUAAACUUUUACUGACGCUGAGGCACGAAAGUGUGGGGAUCAAACAGGA